AUGAAAGUUCGUACACUGGACAAGGAGUAAGGCAUAAUCUACCAAGGGAGGCAGAAGAAAUAACACAGAAGUUUUGAGGAAGCUUUUGGGAAGUUCACUCAAGUGAGUGAGUGAAAUCCAGAUAGAGUGAGGGGGCAAAAUGGCCUUGUAGGAGAAAUACAGCCACAGUGGAUGCAAGAGACAGCAGAACCACUCUGUGAGGACAACUCACUGAAAGAUGCAUGUGAGGAAGACAGGGAACUCAUUCUUUGAAAACAAAGACUGGAUGAAUAGGAUGAGGAUGAAUAGGGUGAGGACAGAGAGGAUGAGGAGAUGAGACAGAACUGGGACCAUGGAAGUGCUCCACCGAGGGACUGAAGCCUGCUAAGAGGGGGAAGCUGAAGGGAGUGCUUUGUGCUUUCUGGAAGAUCACUGCUGAGCCGAGAUUCAGUUACAGAGCAUCGUCUAAAGGUAAAGAUUUAGUUCUAUUAACAGUGAACGUGCACAGAUGAUACGACUGGAGAUAUGCUGCAGCUUUGUAGCAUACUGAAAAGAUGUUUAUGUAAAGAUCAUGAACAGAAGCUUACUAACCAUUUUGUCAAGGAAAACUGGAAGAGACUGUAUUUCUUACCCAAAUGAUUCAACUGUUAUCAGACAGAUGCUCUUACCUGCAGGGGCAAGAAUGACCCUCAGCACAGGGUACAGGUGAAUUAGACUGGCCUUCAGCCGAGCAAUGCAAUGUAGGCUAUGACAGAGUAGUAGGAAUGCCGGUAGGCUGCUCACUGGUGUUGGUGAGCAUGUGCUGCCCUCAUUGUCCGUGUUACCAACAGCUAUUUAUCUGAUGGAACAGUGUUGACAGAACUUGGACUUGUGCCAAACCUCCUGAUGAGAAACAAGGUGGAACAGGCUGGCUGGAGGGAACGUUUCCUUUUUAGGAAGCAGCAGCAAGAAGAUACAUGGAAACAAGGUUGGAACACACUAUCACUGCUGCAAAUACCAGAAACAUUUCUAAGU
rnacentral:lncRNA from 1 species